UACGUAGGGUGCAAGCGUUAAUCGGAAUUACUGGGCGUAAAGCGUGCGCAGGCGGUUUUGUAAGUUUGUCGUGAAAGCCCCGGGCUUAACCUGGGAACUGCGUUUCUAACUGGCAGGCUUGAGUGUGGCAGAGGGGGUGGAAGUUCCACGUGUAGCAGUGAAAUGCGUAGAGAUGUGGAGGAACACCGAUGGCGAAGGCAGCCCCCUGGGCUAACACUGACGCUCAUGCACGAAAGCGUGGGGAGCAAACAGG
rnacentral:rRNA from 1 species